rnacentral:precursor_RNA from 8 species
AGAACUGGUUCCAGUAACCCAGACCGGGAUGCUCAAAAUGGGGGUGCUUGCCGAUUUGUGACUGGAAAGUGCUCCCAUUUUCGAGCGUCCCUGCUCGGGGAAACCAUCUAAGGAUUGG